AGUUACCGUACACUGACGCACGCCAAUCUUUUCAAUCUCACUAAUUUCACCAUAGUUAGAAACUGUUGAUAAUAAAAUAGAUGAACAGAAAGAAACUUAGUUAAAGCCAUAAAUAGACUUAUCAAUAUGCCUGAUCAAAUCGUCCUGAAUAUUACUCAAGAUGUCAUCUGGUAGCUGUGGACAUUUGGUAGACCUAAAAAGCAAUUAAGAAGUGGUGGAUAUGUUUUUAGAAGCUAGUCUGAAAAGAGCUCUUUCAGUUGCUGAUUUUUCCAUAUAGAAAAAUUUGGGUGACCUGAGUUUAAGCUGUUAUUUUGCAGCAGAUAUUUGUGUGGUAUUAAGCAAGUUUAGUGAGUUUGAGUGCUCUAGCCUCUGUGCUCAAUAAGAGCAUUAUCCCUCCUUCAAAAAGUUCUGUGAGGAUAAAUGCAUCAUGACUGUGAGCUAUGCUGGCACUGUAGUAAUAAAAGCUGUACAAGUAAAUCCCCUUUCCAGAAAAUAGUAAAACUCCAUAAACUAAUUAGCUUUUGUGACAAAAGAGAUUUCUGCUUGAUACGUGAUAAAUACACUUGCAUCUGAGUUAAGAGGGGGGAAAAGAAAGAAGAGAGACAAAGUCAUACACCAGCCCUUCUUAGCCCCAGAGACUCAAACUGUUAAAAAAGAUGCAUUAUCAGCAAAGCAUGCAUCUAUUUUUCUGCUCCAUUUUUGUGGCAUCGCUGCUUUCAAUAAGCUGUCACUGGGAUUAUAAGGUGAAAGAGUCUUCAGAAACAAUUUUAGAGGCAUGGCCUAUUCAAAACACCAGCCUGUUCACUCUGAAUGAGGCUAUGAUGCUUGAUCCUGUGAUCACAGAAACUGGGAUUACACUGGAGUGAUUAAUUCCUGCUUGAAUUAGGGACCAGCAAAAGGAACAGUGUGUUCAAGAAGUGCUGCAGAAAAAUCCUAGGGUAAUGGGUAGCCCACACAUAGCAAUGAAGUAGUGCAAAUCCAAACUGGUAAAGACGGAUUUUCUUAAAAGACUUUGCAUAUGUGUAUCCUGAUCUCAUCAGCUUUACUCAUGGCAAGAUCAAUUUACACUUCUGUUUCGUUUCCCUUCCCACUGUUCUAUGUAAAUCAAUGUAAUAAGACUGUUACGGUUCUUUUUUGAGGUCUGAUCCCCAUCCAAGUGAGUAUAGUCUUUUGAUUUUUCUCCAUUGGUUAGCCAACAAAAAAUCCUGUUUCCUAUUAAUCCUCAACUGUAGUCUUAUUUAACGUACCAUUCUGUUUCCACUACACU
rnacentral:lncRNA from 1 species